rnacentral:pre_miRNA from 1 species
CACAUACUCCCUCCGUCCCAAAAUUCUUGUCUUACAUUUGUCUAGAUAUGGAUGUAUCUAACACUAAAAUGUAACUAGAUACAUCCGUAUUUAGACAAAUCUAAGACAAGAAUUUCGGGACGGAGGGAGUACAAA